rnacentral:rRNA from 2 species
GACGAACGCUGGCGGCGUGCUUAACACAUGCAAGUCGAACGGUUCAGAAGAGCUUGCUCUUUUGAUCAGUGGCGAACGGGUGAGUAACACGUGAGCAACCUACCCUUGACUCUGGGAUAACAGUUGGAAACAGCUGCUAAUACCGGAUACGACCUCGGCCGACAUCUGCUGAGGUGGAAAGUUCUGGCGGUCAAGGAUGGGCUCGCGGCCUAUCAGCUAGUUGGUGAGGUAACGGCUCACCAAGGCUUCGACGGGUAGCCGGCCUGAGAGGGCGACCGGCCACACUGGGACUGAGAUACGGCCCAGACUCCUACGGGAGGCAGCAGUGGGAAUAUUGCACAAUGGGCGAAAGCCUGAUGCAGCAACGCCGCGUGCGGGAUGACGGCCUUCGGGUUGUAAACCGCUUUCAGCUCCGACGAAGCGCAAGUGACGGUAGGAGCAGAAGAAGGACCGGCCAACUACGUGCCAGCAGCCGCGGUGAUACGUAGGGUCCGAGCGUUGUCCGGAAUUAUUGGGCGUAAAGGGCUUGUAGGCGGUUUGUCACGUCGGAAGUGAAAACUCAGGGCUCAACCCUGAGCCUGCUUCCGAUACGGGCAAACUAGAGGAAUGCAGGGGAGAAUGGAAUUCCUGGUGGAGCGGUGGAAUGCGCAGAUAUCAGGAGGAACACCAGUGGCGAAGGCGGUUCUCUGGGCAUUUCCUGACGCUGAGAAGCGAAAGCGUGGGGAGCAAACAGGCUUAGAUACCCUGGUAGUCCACGCCGUAAACGGUGGGCACUAGGUGUGGGACUCAUUCCACGAGUUCCGUGCCGUAGCUAACGCAUUAAGUGCCCCGCCUGGGGAGUACGGCCGCAAGGCUAAAACUCAAAGGAAUUGACGGGGGCCCGCACAAGCGGCGGAGCAUGCGGAUUAAUUCGAUGCAACGCGAAGAACCUUACCUGGGUUUGACAUAUGCCGGAAAGCUGCAGAGAUGUAGCCCCCGCAAGGUCGGUAUACAGGUGGUGCAUGGCUGUCGUCAGCUCCUCGUGUCGUGAGAUGUUGGGUUAAGUCCCGCAACGAGCGCAACCCUCGUCCUAUGUUGCCAGCGGGUAAUGCCGGGGACUCAUAGGAGACUGCCGGGGUCAACUCGGAGGAAGGUGGGGAUGACGUCAAGUCAUCAUGCCCCUUAAGUCCAGGGCUUCACGCAUGCUACAAUGGCUGGUACAAAGGGCUGCAAUACCGCAAGGUUGAGCGAAUCCCAAAAAGCCAGUCUCAGUUCGGAUUGGGGUCUGCAACUCGACCCCAUGAAGUCGGAGUCGCUAGUAAUCGCAGAUCAGCAACGCUGCGGUGAAUACGUUCCCGGGCCUUGUACACACCGCCCGUCAAGUCAUGAAAGUCGGUAACACCCGAAGCCGGUGGCCCAACCUUUUGGAGGGAGCCGUCGAAGGUGGGACUGGCGAUUAGGACUA